ensembl:rRNA 5S_rRNA 5S ribosomal RNA
UCCAAAAAUGAAAUUAAGAAAAUAAUUCCUCAGAUCUCAGAAGCUAAGCAGGGUAGGGCCUGGUUAGUACUUGGAUGGGAGACCACCUAGAAAGACCAGGUACUGUAGGCA